rnacentral:rRNA from 1 species
UUCCGGUUGAUCCUGCCGGAGGCCAUUGCUAUCGGAGUCCGAUUUAGCCAUGCUAGUCGAGCGAGGUUAGCCCUCGCGGCGAACAGCUCAGUAACACGUGGCCAAGCUACCCUGCAGAGGGGGACAGCGUCGGGAAACUGACGGGGAUCCCCCAUACCGGUCUCACGCUGGAAUGCCGAGACCGACAAACGCUCCGGCGCUGCAGGAUGCGGCUGCGGCCGAUUAGGUAGUCGGUGGGGUAACGGCCCACCGAGCCGAUAAUUGGUACGGGGUGUGAGAGCACGAGCCCGGAGACGGAAUCUGAGACAAGAUUCCGGGCCCUACGGGGCGCAGCAGGCGCGAAACCUUUACACUGCACGAACGUGCGAUAAGGGGACUCCGAGUGCGAGGGCAUACAGUCCUCGCUAUUGUGUACCGUAGGGUGGUACACGACCAAGAGCUGGGCAAGACCGGUGCCAGCCGCCGCGGUAAUACCGGCAGCUCGAGUGAUGGCCGAUUUUAUUGGGCCUAAAGCGUCCGUAGCUGGCCCUGCAAGUCCGUCGGGAAAUCCACUCGCCUAACGAGUGGGCGUCCGGCGGAAACUACAGGGCUUGGGACCGGAAGACUUGAGGGGUACGUCUGGGGUAGGAGUGAAAUCCUGUAAUCCUGGACGGACCGCCGAUAGCGAAAGCACCUCAAGACGACGGAUCCGACAGUGAGGGACGAAAGCUAGGGUCUCGAACCGGAUUAGAUACCCGGGUAGUCCUAGCUGUAAACGAUGUUCGCUAGAUGUGGCACAGGCUACGUGCCUGUGCUGUGUCGUAGGGAAGCCGAGAAGCGAACCGCCUGGGAAGUACGUCCGCAAGGAUGAAACUUAAAGGAAUUG